rnacentral:rRNA from 1 species
AUGCAUGAGUUAACUAAGGAAAACAUUGAGCGUAUGAAUGGUAAAUAUAAACUUGCUGGAGAUAAGGGUAGAAAACAUGUUGUGUUUGCACCUGGAGAUCUUGUUUGGUUACAUUUGCGUAAGGAUAGAUUUCCUAAUUUGCGCAAAUCAAAGUUAAUGCCACGUGCUGAUGGUCCCUUUAAGGUGUUAGAGAAAAUAAAUGAUAAUGCAUAUAAACUUGAGCUGCCUGCAGAUUUUGGGGUUAGUCCCACUUUUAACAUUGCAGAUUUGAAGCCUUAUUUGGGUGAGGAAGAUGAACUUCCGUCGAGGACGACUUCAUUUCAAAAAGGGGAGGAUGAUGAGGACAUCAAUACAAUUGUUACACCCACAGCCCCUGCUGCUAUACAUACUGGACCAAUUACUAGAGCUCGUGCACGCCAACUAAAUUACCAGGAAACAGACCCUCGUGGUCAGGUUGAUCGUGCUCCGGCGUGGUCAAUAACCUCUCGGAGUUGGUUUAGCGAUUGCUAA